rnacentral:lncRNA from 1 species
GAUUUGCUACUUAAUGAUAAACUCACACGGUAAAAAGAUAAAACCGAAGCAGCGACGACAGGCGGAGCAAAGUUGAUAAGAAACAAUCAAGCUACAUGUAGAUAAAAUUUAUGAAGAUAAAAAAGAGAAAAUACUACAGACAGGAUAAACAUAUUUUUCGAAAAGAUUAUUUUUUGGAGAAGCAGAAAAAUAAAAACUUGUUGGAUGUGGUAUAUCAAGAUCUUGACUUAUCCGCAGUUGAUUAAAACUAUCCUUGAUUUCUGAUAGAACACAACACUAACAAAGUUGAAAGCAAGUGUGGAAAAUGUGGUCAUGGUGGGCCAUUUUGAAAAGGGACGUGUCCGGUUGGUGUGCUACUAACAUUAUUUGUGUACGCUAACAGUUACUGACGAAGCUCGAAGUACCGAUGUCGAGGUCAAAAGGUGUCUGGACUUCGGCCAGAGGUAAACAAAGACCACGUGGGCGACAUGGCUACAGUCAGGGCCAGCUUUGUUUCAAGUCUCUUCUGAAGAAAACAAACGUAACCUACAAACUGAAAAUCUUCUGCCCUGAUUACUUCUGCUGAAUAGGAAAUAACACGAUCACUGGACUGAAGUAAUCUACAAAUCUCCUAUUGAGAUUUGAAAAGGGUUCAGUUACAGAAUGAAUUAGCAGAAACAUGAAGAAUUCUAAGAUCCUUUGAAAGUGAAGACUCAAUGGACAUCUAAGAAAGAUCGAAGGAGAAAAAACUCCAAGGGACUGCGGAGCUACAAUUAACUACAAGAGGAAAUGUUUAGGAACUCAUAACCCAACAGAAAAUAAAACCAUGGGGGAAUAAUAUAAAUCAGCAAAGACUUAGGAUUAACAGGUUGUAAGUACAGAAAACAAGAAACAGUACAUCUUAAAAAUAGUAUUUAAAAAAACCAUACAUUUCUAAUUUAAUGAGUGUAAAAAUCCAUUUAGCUGUUCGAUCAACACUUUGUCUAGCCAAAGAACAUAUUCAAAUUUGACCUCAGGGAGUAUUUCGCCCGAAAACGGGUUUAAGCCUCUCACUUUUUAUAAAACCCGCCUUGAACUGUCUAAUGUAUUUAUUUAAAUCCCUCUAGGUCAGAGAUAAAAAGAGGGAGAAAGGAUUACCAAUUACGCGCAAUGGACAAUUACUUCAAAAAUACGUUUCAGGAACAAUACCACGACCUUGGCCUAAUAGGAUAAAAUGGACUAUACAUACAUAAUAUGAAAAAUAUUGUACAAAAAUUUUAACACUAAAGUUUGAAACCUUACUUUUGCAAACAAGAGCGAAAAAACUUAAAAGAUCGCCCUAGAUUCAAGCACGUUCUAUUUGUUGUCCCUCCGAUAUUUUCGACAUACUAUUUUCUUCGCUGGGAUCGGAUUGUUUUCUGAGGGCAACGACAUCUCAGGGAAAGGAGGCCGAAAUUAGAACGCAAUUGAUAGGCCAUAAGUCUCACUUAUUGUUUAACAAAACUGCUUAUGAAGAGACGGGGCUGAAAAGGGAAGGCGCGGUCAAUCCGUGCGGAAAAGGGAAAUAACGACCCAGGGCGAUUUUUCACCCCGCGGGUUCCUUCUUCAACAUGAAAAUAAAACAUU